AGAGUUUGAUCAUGGCUCAGAUUGAACGCUGGCGGCAGGCCUAACACAUGCAAGUCGAACGGUAACAGGAAACAGCUUGCUGUUUCGCUGACGAGUGGCGGACGGGUGAGUAAUGUCUGGGAAACUGCCUGAUGGAGGGGGAUAACUACUGGAAACGGCAGCUAAUACCGCAUAACGUCGCAAGACCAAAGAGGGGGACCUUCGGGCCUCUUGCCAUCAGAUGUGCCCAGAUGGGAUUAGCUAGUAGGUGGGGUAACGGCUCACCUAGGCGACGAUCCCUAGCUGGUCUGAGAGGAUGACCAGCCACACUGGAACUGAGACACGGUCCAGACUCCUACGGGAGGCAGCAGUGGGGAAUAUUGCACAAUGGGCGCAAGCCUGAUGCAGCCAUGCCGCGUGUAUGAAGAAGGCCUUCGGGUUGUAAAGUACUUUCAGCGGGGAGGAAGGGAGUAAAGUUAAUACCUUUGCUCAUUGACGUUACCCGCAGAAGAAGCACCGGCUAACUCCGUGCCAGCAGCCGCGGUAAUACGGAGGGUGCGAGCGUUAAUCGGAAUUACUGGGCGUAAAGCGCACGCAGGCGGUUUGUUAAGUCAGAUGUGAAAUCCCCGGGCUCAACCUGGGAACUGCAUCUGAUACUGGCAAGCUUGAGUCUCGUAGAGGGGGGUAGAAUUCCAGGUGUAGCGGUGAAAUGCGUAGAGAUCUGGAGGAAUACCGGUGGCGAAGGCGGCCCCCUGGACGAAGACUGACGCUCAGGUGCGAAAGCGUGGGGAGCAAACAGGAUUAGAUACCCUGGUAGUCCACGCCGUAAACGAUGUCGACUUGGAGGUUGUGCCCUUGAGGCGUGGCUUCCGGAGCUAACGCGUUAAGUCGACCGCCUGGGGAGUACGGCCGCAAGGUUAAAACUCAAAUGAAUUGACGGGGGCCCGCACAAGCGGUGGAGCAUGUGGUUUAAUUCGAUGCAACGCGAAGAACCUUACCUGGUCUUGACAUCCACGGAAGUUUUCAGAGAUGAGAAUGUGCCUUCGGGAACCGUGAGACAGGUGCUGCAUGGCUGUCGUCAGCUCGUGUUGUGAAAUGUUGGGUUAAGUCCCGCAACGAGCGCAACCCUUAUCCUUUGUUGCCAGCGGUCCGGCCGGGAACUCAAAGGAGACUGCCAGUGAUAAACUGGAGGAAGGUGGGGAUGACGUCAAGUCAUCAUGGCCCUUACGACCAGGGCUACACACGUGCUACAAUGGCGCAUACAAAGAGAAGCGACCUCGCGAGAGCAAGCGGACCUCAUAAAGUGCGUCGUAGUCCGGAUUGGAGUCUGCAACUCGACUCCAUGAAGUCGGAAUCGCUAGUAAUCGUGGAUCAGAAUGCCACGGUGAAUACGUUCCCGGGCCUUGUACACACCGCCCGUCACACCAUGGGAGUGGGUUGCAAAAGAAGUAGGUAGCUUAACCUUCGGGAGGGCGCUUACCACUUUGUGAUUCAUGACUGGGGUGAAGUCGGAACAAGGUAACCGUAGGGGAACCUGCGGUUG
rnacentral:rRNA from 1 species